UGGUGGAGUGAUUUGUCUGGUUAAUUCCGUUAACGAACGAGACCUCGACCUGCUAAAUAGUCAGCCGUAUCUUACGGGAUACGCGUCGACUUCUUAGAGGGACUAUCGAUGUGUAGCCGAUGGAAGUUCGAGGCAAUAACA
rnacentral:rRNA from 1 species